GUCUACAGCCUUGCUACCCUGAACAAGCCCUGAUAAUGGAAGCUAAGCAGGGCCAGGCCUGGUUAGUACUUGGAUGGGAGACCACCAGGAAGACCAGGUACUGUAGGCG
rnacentral:rRNA from 1 species